rnacentral:rRNA from 1 species
GAGGAAUAUUGGUCAAUGGACGCAAGUCUGAACCAGCCACGUCGCGUGCAGGAUGACGGCCCUAUGGGUUGUAAACUGCUUUUAUAAGGGAAUAAAGUUAGUCUCGUGAGACUUUUUGCAUGUACCUUAUGAAUAAGGACCGGCUAAUUCCGUGCCAGCAGCCGCGGUAAUACGGAGGAUCCGAGCGUUAUCCGGAUUUAUUGGGUUUAAAGGGUGCUCAGGCGGGGGAUUAAGUCGGCGGUGAAAUUUUGCAGCUCAACUGUAAAAGUGCCUUCGAAACUGGUUUCCUUGAGUGCGGAUGAGGUAGGCGGAAUUUGUGGUGUAGCGGUGAAAUGCAUAGAUAUCACGAGGAACUCCGAUUGCGCAGGCAGCUUACCAAGCCGUAACUGACGCUCAAGCACGAAGGCGUGGGGAUCAAACA